UUGAACGCUGGCGGCAGGCCUAACACAUGCAAGUCGAACGGUAACAGGAAGCAGCUUGCUGUUUCGCUGACGAGUGGCGGACGGGUGAGUAAUGUCUGGGAAACUGCCUGAUGGAGGGGGAUAACUACUGGAAACGGUAGCUAAUACCGCAUAACGUCGCAAGACCAAAGAGGGGGACCUUCGGGCCUCUUGCCAUCGGAUGUGCCCAGAUGGGAUUAGCUAGUAGGUGGGGUAACGGCUCACCUAGGCGACGAUCCCUAGCUGGUCUGAGAGGAUGACCAGCCACACUGGAACUGAGACACGGUCCAGACUCCUACGGGAGGCAGCAGUGGGGAAUAUUGCACAAUGGGCGCAAGCCUGAUGCAGCCAUGCCGCGUGUAUGAAGAAGGCCUUCGGGUUGUAAAGUACUUUCAGCGGGGAGGAAGGGAGUAAAGUUAAUACCUUUGCUCAUUGACGUUACCCGCAGAAGAAGCACCGGCUAACUCCGUGCCAGCAGCCGCGGUAAUACGGAGGGUGCAAGCGUUAAUCGGAAUUACUGGGCGUAAAGCGCACGCAGGCGGUUUGUUAAGUCAGAUGUGAAAUCCCCGGGCUCAACCUGGGAACUGCAUCUGAUACUGGCAAGCUUGAGUCUCGUAGAGGGGGGUGGAAUUCCAGGUGUAGCGGUGAAAUGCGUAGAGAUCUGGAGGAAUACCGGUGGCGAAGGCGGCCCCCUGGACGAAGACUGACGCUCAGGUGCGAAAGCGUGGGGAGCAAACAGGAUUAGAUACCCUGGUAGUCCACGCCGUAAACGAUGUCGACUUGGAGGUUGUGCCCUUGAGGCGUGGCUUCCGGAGCUAACGCGUUAAGUCGACCGCCUGGGGAGUACGGCCGCAAGGUUAAAACUCAAAUGAAUUGACGGGGGCCCGCACAAGCGGUGGAGCAUGUGGUUUAAUUCGAUGCAACGCGAAGAACCUUACCUGGUCUUGACAUCCACGGAAGUUUUCAGAGAUGAGAAUGUGCCUUCGGGAACCGUGAGACAGGUGCUGCAUGGCUGUCGUCAGCUCGUGUUGUGAAAUGUUGGGUUAAGUCCCGCAACGAGCGCAACCCUUAUCCUUUGUUGCCAGCGGUCCGGCCGGGAACUCAAAGGAGACUGCCAGUGAUAAACUGGAGGAAGGUGAGGAUGACGUCAAGUCAUCAUGGCCCUUACGACCAGGGCUACACACGUGCUACAAUGGCGCAUACAAAGAGAAGCGACCUCGCGAGAGCAAGCGGACCUCAUAAAGUGCGUCGUAGUCCGGAUUGGAGUCUGCAACUCGACUCCAUGAAGUCGGAAUCGCUAGUAAUCGUGGAUCAGAAUGCCACGGUGAAUACGUUCCCGGGCCUUGUACACACCGCCCGUCACACCAUGGGAGUGGGUUGCAAAAGAAGUAGGUAGCUUAACCUUCGGGAGGGCGCUUACCACUUUGUGAUUCAUGACUGGGGUG
rnacentral:rRNA from 1 species